rnacentral:rRNA from 1 species
GAUGAACGCUGGCGGCGUGCCUAAUACAUGCAAGUCGAGCGAACAGACGAGGCGCUUGCUCCUCUGACGUUAGCGGCGGACGGGUGAGUAACACGUGUAUAACCUACCUAUAAGACUGGGAUAACUUCGGGAAACCGGAGCUAAUACCGGAUAAUAUAUUGAACCGCAUGGUUCAAUAGUGAAAGACGGUUUUGCUGUCACUUAUAGAUGGAUCCGCGCCGCAUUAGCUAGUUGGUAAGGUAACGGCUUACCAAGGCAACGAUGCGUAGCCGACCUGAGAGGGUGAUAGGCCACAUUGGAGGGGAGACGGGGUCAAGGCGACUGCGGGAAGCAGCAGUAGGGAAUCGUCCGCAAUGGGCGAAAGCCUGACGGAGCAACGCGGCGUGAGUGAUGAAGGUCUUCGGAGCGUAAAACUCUGUUAUGAGGGAAGAACAAAUGUGGAAGUAACUAUGCACGUCUUGACGGUACCUAAUCAGAAAGCCACGGCUAACUACGUG